rnacentral:rRNA from 1 species
GAUGAACGCUGGCGGCGUGCCUAAUACACGCAAGUCGAGCGAACGGACGAGAAGCUUGCUUCUCUGAUGUUAGCGGCGGACGGGUGAGUAACACGUGGAUAACCUACCUAUAAGACUGGGAUAACUUCGGGAAACCGGAGCUAAUACCGGAUAAUAUUUUGAACCGCAUGGUUCAAAAGUGAAAGACGGUCUUGCUGUCACUUAUAGAUGGAUCCGCGCUGCAUUAGCUAGUUGGUAAGGUAACGGCUUACCAAGGCAACGAUGCAUAGCCGACCUGAGAGGGUGAUCGGCCACACUGGAACUGAGACACGGUCCAGACUCCUACGGGAGGCAGCAGUAGGGAAUCUUCCGCAAUGGGCGAAAGCCUGACGGAGCAACGCCGCGUGAGUGAUGAAGGUCUUCGGAUCGUAAAACUCUGUUAUUAGGGAAGAACAUAUGUGUAAGUAACUGUGCACAUCUUGACGGUAUCUAAUCAGAAAGCCACGGCUAACUACGUG